rnacentral:lncRNA from 1 species
AGAGUCGUUGACACUUCACCGGAGGAAAAUUAAAAGAGGGCUUUUUAGCGUCGAUAAAGAAUUGGACUCCUAUUUAUUUUUUCCCGUCCAAAGGACUUUUGAAAGAGAAAGGAAUUUUUUAAACUUUCUUUCUCUGAUUUUUUCAAUUUCUUACCCUUGCAAAUUGUAAUUCACAUCUCAUCUCCCAUUUUCUUGCUUCAGGUAAUUAUUUCUGCUGAUCUGACAAUUUCCAUUGUCUUGUAGGGAUCGAUUUUUUUUGCUAUAAAGAUCAUAAAAUUCGAUUCUUUCUUCACAUUCCCUAUGUGGGUUUUUAUUUGUUCCACUGCCGUUAGCUUGUUCAAUUUGGUAUUCUAUAGAUUGUUUCGGUUUGAAAUUUUUUGCUGAGCUUGGUAGUGAGUGGAACUUCUUUUACUCCAGUUGAAUUUGGUACAUUUUGGAUUGUCUUUUUAUUUCUCUGUGGAAAAAUUUAGUUAAGUUCUGGAUGUGAUGAAUGUAGCUUUUUUUUCCCCUUGAGUUCAAUUGGUACUCUUUAGUUUCUUUUGUUUGUUUGAAAAACUCAGCUAAUGGUGUGUGAUUUAUGUCUGCACUAGAAAUUUGCGUAGGCUGAAGAUUAGCCUACAGGCCAUAACAUUAAUUUUUGAACACCUUUUUUAGUGAAUUAGAAUUGGGACUUACAUUUACUAGAUAAUUGUGCCGGAUUUCGAGAGGCUUUUUAUUGGUUCACCUCAUUUUGUUCCCUUUUCCUUUUCCAACUUUAAGUUGAGAAUUAGAAGCUAUAACCCGAUUCAAAUCAAACUGAUUCUGAAGUUUAUAGUCAAGUAUUGAGUGAAAUUUCCUAAUUCUUACUGCCUAACUUAACCUCCAACUUGGGAAAAUCAUGAAGCUUGAUAAGAUCAUUCAUCAUUUGAGUCUCCAAGUUUUUAGUGUUGCAGAUGUUGUAGAUACUAUUUUUCUGUUAGUACUAAUAAUUCAUUUAUAUUAGCGUACAAGAGGGUCGUAUAUAUAUGAGUUCUGAACUUUUAGAUACUAGAGAUUUGGAUAAAAGCUCUUCUACUCAAGGAAAAGGCAAAUGUGCUUCUUUGUGAACUUGCUCACCCUUGCAUCCUUUUUAUUCUGUAGUACAUAUUUGGCGUGUUGAAAGUUGUUGGAGCUCCUAUUACCGAAGGACAUGUUACUGGACACUUUUAGCUUACUUUCUUGUGAGGUCUAGUAUUGUUAAAAAUUGAAAAAAUUGUUCAGGUGCAUUUCACGUGACUAUAAAUCAUCUCAUUAAGGAAAAAAUGAGAAGUUUAAAGCUACAUUCUUUCCAAAUAUAGAAAGGGGUCAUUCUUUUUUAAACUGACCGAAAAGGAAAUAGGUUCAUUAUUUUUGAAACGGAAGGAGUAUUUGUUUUGUACUUAUUUUAGAAUUCAAUCAUGUAGUGAAACGUUCUUGAUAUCUCCACGAUUUGUUGGUGUAUGUUGCUUUGCAGGUUUUGCAUUUAGGGCUUGUCUGCUAAAUUGCCUAAUUGCUAAUUUUAAAAAGUGUAUUUGUUUGUUACUUUAGUAGAUAGUAUCGGAUGACUAGUCUAGUUAUUAGAACGUGUUUGCAAUUCCUCUGUUUGACCUGCUUUUUUAUUUGAUGAGUAGCAGGACUAUUUUACGGCAUCUCUUCUUCUCUCGCGCAUAGCUCUACAGAGGUAGAACGGAAUUAGGAAGAAAAGAUGCUCUCAGGUUCUUCAAUAACUUCUAUUUCUGCUUAUCCUUCUUUAUACAUAGUACUUACACCUUUCUUAAGAGGGUUGAGCACACGGGGUGUGUCACUGUGUAUGAGCCAUAAUAGCCAGAACUCCAAACUAUCAAGCUCUAUAAGUGUCAUAUCAUCCAGAGACUAAUAGGGUUUAGAUUAAAGGGAUGUGGGGUGCUCCUCCGUGCAGCGUGCACAAGAGAGAAGUGUGCCAAAGAGCUUUGCAUCUGCAUAUCGUCACCCUAAAAGCUCUUCCUAUAUCUAUACAAACAAGGAAACUAGAGUAAGUCCAGUAGACAUGCCAGUUAUUUUUUCCUUGAGCUCUUAUUCAGCAACUAAAAUUUGUUUAAUGUCCUCAAAGAUCUACUUCUUUCAAUUCUAAUGCCCUUUUUAUUUAAUAAUUUGUAUGAGUGUCAUAAGAGUAUAUAGCAUUGUGUCGGUUAAUUUCACUAUUUACUUAGUCUAAGCCAUAGUUCUGUCUUUUCAGGGUUCAACGUGGGAACUCUGCUUCAACCAAGAGAUUACAUAGGCAUUAUUUGCACUUAUAGUACCCCGAAACAAGAAGAAAGAGAGUAACUCUUUUAAGAAAUAAUCCAUAGUUUAAGAAGAUAAUAGGUCAGGACUAGUGAUCUCUAAAGAAACCACGUGAUGUGAAAACCAAUGGGUGCUCACCACAGCUACUACUUAUUCUAUUUCUCCUUUAAGAUUUUUCACCAAAGCAAAAGAGAGAUGCCAACAAGGACUGGGAUAGGAAG